UUAACUCAGAUUUGUAUGCAGUUGGAACCUUUGCUUACGUUUGCCGCCAGGGGCGCUGUUCUAGGUGCAUACAAAUUUCAGGUA
rnacentral:pre_miRNA from 1 species